GAGAAAAACUAAGAAAAAGAUUUUGCAAAUCACUGGCAAAUGCCUAUACAAGGACUGAAACCAGUGUAAUAUAUUACAAACCCCAAUAAAAAAAAAAAAAGCUACAGGACUUAAAUCAGAGAUGAGGCAACAAGCCCCAAAAGCUAACAAGCAACAGUUUCCAGAUAGAAGGAAGGACAACAUAAUACGUCUUGCCAUGUACUAGAACAGAGCAAAAGGUGCUGGAAGGUAUAUGGAGUAAUUGUUCUGCCAAGGCACCAUGCUACCAUACCAUCCCGAGUCCAGGACCAUGAAGCAAAAAUGAUGUCCGCACAAGUGUUGAAAUUUAACGCAUUUCCUAGAAGCUUCCAGAAAGUAUAAGAAAAAAAAAAUAUCUCAACAUAUCAAUAUGAGCAACAAGAAUGCUCCACUAUGAGAACCAGAUGAUCCUUUUUCCUAGUUUUCAUUUAUUUAUUUUUUGGGUCUGCAUCAUAUUGUCUUGUUUCCUCAACACAUGGAUCCAUGUGAUAACAAAGUUAAAUUAGUGUAAAGAAAACUGAAGUGAUAGAGUUUGCUGAUUCCAGGCAUAUGCGCACACACACACACACAUAUGGAAAAGUUUUAAGCGAUGGAAAAGUUUUAAGAGAGAUAUUGUGCUCUAUAUGGAAAAGAAUGUUUGUAGAGUGAAAGACAAAGAAACCAGUGGACAAUGGUAAAUGAUAAUAGUAAGCGUUUGCUGACAAGAUGCUAAUUGGUUAUGGAAACCUUGCUUGGGAAGAGUUAUAAGAACUAUUGGCUUACAAGCAUUAAAUUGUAUGUUUUAGUACCUAUAGGUACAUUAAAACAUUUGGCCUUGUUUUCAAACAAAAAGACAAUCACUUAGUGCUCAUAACCAGCUCGAAAAUAAGCAAGCGUGUCCUUACUUUUAAGGUUUUCAUAAGCAAAAGCUCACGAGCCCUAACACCCGAUACUGAGAGGACCAAUAGACCAAAAGUGCUUCUUAAUACAAAAUUUUGAAGCAAAAAGACUUGGAAAGUUUAAAUGUAAAUACAAUCCGGAAGUAAAUAUCUUGGUAAGCACCACUCAAUUGUAUAAUGCAUGCAAAUUAUAUAAUUCACUAAUUAAAAUCAACAAGGUAUAUGAUUUCAAAUAUCAACCUCUGAUGGGGAAUUUCAUCAAACAAAAGUACUGCUGAUCUGGUAAUCAAUGGACAAUGGACAUAUCUGUUAUUAUAAUUUAAGCACCCACAUUCUCCUUCAGAGUACAAUUAAUUAUGUUUUAAUUUGCACCAAUUCGAUCAACUGAACUCAUAUCUCACUCAAACUUACCAAGAAUUAAAAUUCGUACCUUUUUUUUCCAAUUAAAAUCAAUGUAGAAUGUGAACUACAACAAAUUGAAGGUUACAAGAGAAAACAUACAAUAGUAAAUCACUUAGUACGCUUGCUGAUCGAUCCAAUCAAAACUCUGAAAUAGAAAUCUCGUAGAAUAUAUACACAUUGGAUUCGAUAAUAAAGACAGUUAAAACUUACACGACAGCGCCAAUAACUAGGGGGAAAGAGAGAAAUCUUCUUCGACCAAACAUAUUCUGAGGUAUUCUGUGCAGAGAGAAACGCGUCUGCUUUGAGUGCUCGAUCCGUAUGAGGUUCUCGAUUAUUAGCUCUUUUCAACUUCCGAAUUGAUCCUGUAUUUGCAGAAUUAUUCACUGAUUUUAUGUUCUUCGGUUUGCCAUCCGCCGUUA
rnacentral:lncRNA from 1 species